GUGCUCACUUUGGCACAAAAAUUGGGGUGAUACGGAGAAGAUUAACAUGGCCCCCUGCACAAGAUGACACAAAUUUGGGAAGCGUUCCAUAUUAUA
ensembl:snRNA U6 U6 spliceosomal RNA